ACGAAGAAGAAAACACGACCGAGCUCCACCGACACAAACUUCAGAUUAAACAACGAGACGCACAAAACACAUGAAACUUAUUAGAGUCAGGAAGGAGUGAACUGCAACCACACACACACACACACACACACAAACAAGCACACAUAAAUCAGAGCAGGUGGUUUCUACACUGAACCGGACUUUUUAAUUGAAUCCAUGUCGAGCAGAGCCGGCGGCAGCGCUCGGCUCAUCCCUUCUGCCCCGGAACAGCGUCCCGUCCUGCACAGUCUCCGGCUGAGUGGAAACAUUUCCUACAGUAUCUUCAGUUUCCUGCACUCACUUUUUAGAUUUCCUCCAAAAAAAAACAAAAAAACAGUAAUACAAGCAUACCUCUCGAACUUCCUGCGGUAAAAUAUUGAUCCCUCUCGGCGACUGCUUCGUCAUUAAAAGUAACCAUGAGAACAAACAGACAGAGAGAGAAACAGAAAAACAGAGCCGGGUGCGGUAAAAGCAAAGCGCGCCUGACGCAAAGCCCGUCGCUCAGACGUUUCCUGGCAGGCAGCUGGCCUGAUGAGCGAGCUGAUGAGGCCCGGGUGCUGACACUGAUCACAUCCUGGCCACAGGCGAACACUUCCUGUCACAGGCUGGAUGUGCUGAGAGGUGGACAGCCAUCUGGCCAGGCCUGCAGGCACCCACGGGCUCGCUGGACCAAAUUAUCCUCGCUCGCUUACUCUUACAAGUUCCCAGAACACGAGGUCGUCAUCGUCUAAUCGCUUCAUUUGUCCUGCCAGCAAUCCAAAUGUUCUUAAUCCUUUGUUGCUGAUUGGUGUAAUAUGCAUUGAAAAUUGAGAACCUUAAUUCAUGACUUCUUCUUCUCAUAACUUCCAGUCGCCCGACAGAAUAAACAGACUUGGACUCCA